AUUGAACGCUGGCGGCAUGCCUUACACAUGCAAGUCGAACGGCAGCGGACCUUCGGGUGCCGGCGAGUGGCGAACGGGUGAGUGAUGCAUCGGAACGUGCCAUUGAGUGGGGGAUAACGUAGCGAAAGUUACGCUAAUACCGCAUAUUCUGUGAGCAGGAAAGCAGGGGACCGCAAGGCCUUGCGCUCUUUGAGCGGCCGAUGUCAGAUUAGCUAGUUGGUGAGGUAAAGGCUUACCAAGGCGACGAUCUGUAGCGGGUCUGAGAGGAUGAUCCGCCACACUGGAACUGAGACACGGUCCAGACUCCUACGGGAGGCAGCAGUGGGGAAUUUUGGACAAUGGGCGCAAGCCUGAUCCAGCCAUGCCGCGUGAGUGAAGAAGGCC
rnacentral:rRNA from 1 species